ensembl:lncRNA
GUGACACAAACCAGGAGAAGUUACUGUGUUUGACGAUGCAUCUAUCAGCCUCCAUCACUCUGCUGCUCCUGGUUCUUCUGGGGGUCACUUCAGGAGGUUUACCUACACUGAGAGCAAAUAUUACGGCCCCUUUCUGACCAGUGUGAAUGGUUUGUAUGGAGAUUUCUCUCAGCGCACCUACUGGCAGCUGCUGGUGGAGAAACUGGACGGGACUGUCAUAAUACCUGAUGCUGGUGAGUUAAAAGUGUUUUGUGACGUUUUAGGUUUGUCCUAAAUAUAAACUCUGUGCCACAGUGAAUCAGGCACAGUUUGUACGAUAAACACGACUGAUGUGUUUGUUUUCCAGAUAUCAGGUGCUACAUUCCAAUUGCAAAUGAUAAGAUCAUCUUUGAAUAUUCCAGCGCAUGAAGAGUCAAAUGAAACUGUUGACACAUAAUGGACUGUGCUUCACUUUACAAAAACUUCAACUCAAGAUGAUUAUUUUAACACUUUGCUGGAGAGAGACUGAUGUCAUUUUACCUGUUGUUACACUUUAAAUAAAUCAUUCAUUCAUUGUGGAGAAUAAAUGAUUUUAAAAGCCUCUCCCAGCUCAUAAACACCUGUUGUUCUUUUUGUUCUUCUGGACAAAGAGAACACCAUGAUCUUUUAGAUUUAAUGAUGUGAUGUAAUUAUGGUCAUGGCACAAUGUAUUUUUGGCCUGUGGUUGAAUAAAGGGUGUUUCCUAAUUACACUGAAGUACAAAAUGUCCUCAUUGCGUGUAAUAAAACAAUACAUGACAAAUACUUCCUGGUACUUUCUGGGACUUUAAAAAGGAGUGACACAAACCAGGAGAAGUUACUGUGUUUGACGAUGGCGAUGCAUCUAACAGCCUCCAUCACUCUGCUGCUCCUGGUUCUUCUGGGGGUCACUUCUGGAGCACCACCCUCCAAUGAAACUCCCGUCACGAUUGAGGUGGGAAACUCUUUGGUCCCAGGUGAAGCCAGAAAAAUCUACCGCACUUCUGUGCCCUACAGAGGAAUUCUGCUGGGAGCAAUGAGACGACUCCAGGAAACCACCAACUUCAAGUUUACCUACACUGAGGACAAAAAUUACGGCCCCUUUCUGACCAGUGUGAAUGGUUUGUAUGGAGAUUUCUCUCAGCGCACCUACUGGCAGCUGCUGGUGGAGAAACCGGACGGGACCACCAUAAGAGCUGAUGUUGGUAUCGGGUGCCUCAUUCCAACUGAAAAUGAUAAGAUCCUCUUAAUUUUUUCCACCUACUGAAGACGACUUGACUCUGAGCUGAUUAAUAAACAUAUAACCACGUACCUGCUGAUCAGGAAAUAUGUGUAACUCGUUGUAUUCUGUUAUCACUGGGUUAUUUAGUUUAGUCACACCUGUUUGUUUAGUUUGUGGUAAAUGUUGAUUUAAGUCACUAUUUUCCUCUGUUCUUGUUGCAACAUGUGAAAAACAAUAAAGAAACAAACUCAGAGUCUGAGUCACUAAAAUGUUGACACAGUAUUUUAUUUAUGCAAUGGCACUUGACAAGGAAGAGAAAGAUAUUUUCUCCUGUUUAUCACAAUCAUUUGGGAUUGGUUUGUUUUGACAUGGAGGAUAAAAGUGUAAAAAUAAUC